GAUGAACGUUGGCGGUGUGCCUAAUACAUGCAAGUCGAACGGAGACUGUAGCAAUACUGUCUUAGUGGCGAACGGGUGAGUAACGCGUUGGUGAUCUGCCUCGAAGUGUGGAAUAACCUCCCGAAAGGGAGGCUAAUACCGCAUAGUCUCUCAAGGUUUAGAAAAUUGAGGGUAAAGGAUUUAUUCGCUUCGAGAGGAGCCUGCGUCCCAUCAGCUAGUUGGUAGGGUAACGGCCUACCAAGGCAAUGACGGGUAGGGGACCUGAGAGGGUGGCCCCCCACAAUGGAACUGAAACACGGUCCAUACACCUACGGGUGGCAGCAGUAGGGAAUAUUAGAAAUGGGCGGAAGCCUGAUCUAGCAACACCGCGUGUGCGAUGAAGGCCUUCGGGUCGUAAAGCACUUUUUGGAGGGAAUAGGAAGGAAGGUACCUCCAGAAUAAGUCUCGGCUAACUACGUG
rnacentral:rRNA from 1 species